rnacentral:rRNA from 1 species
CAAUAGCGUAUAUUAAAGCUGUUGUGGUUAAAAAGCUCGUAGUUGGAUUUCUGUCAAGGACAACUGGUCCGCCCUCCGGGUGAGUACAUAGUUUGGUCUUGGCAUCCUGCUGGGAACUGUAGCUGCACUUGGCUGUGUGGUGCAGUGUCCAGCACUUUCACUUUGAGGAAAUUGGAGUGUUUCAAGCAGGCACAUGCCUUUGGACACAGUAGCAUGGAAUAAAUAGAUUGGGCUUUUGCUCCAUUUUGUCGGUUUCUGGAGUAGAGGUGAGAAUUAAUGGGGAUUGUUGGGGGCAUCCGAAUUUAGCCGUCAGAGGUGAAAUUCUUGGAUCUGCUAAAGACGGACAACUGCGAAAGCGUUUGCCCAGGAUGUUUUCAUUGA